GAUGAACGCUGGCGGCGUUUCUAAUACAUGCAAGUCGAGCGAACGGACGAGAAGCUUGCUUCUCUGAUGUUAGCGGCGGACGGGUGAGUAACACGUGGAUAACCUACCUAUAAGACUGGGAUAACUUCGUGAAACCGGAGCUAAUACCGGAUAAUAUUUUGAACCGCAUGGUUCAAAAGUUAAAGACGGUCUUGCUGUCACUUAUAGAUAGAUCCGCGCUGCAUUAGCUAGUUGGUAAGGUAACGGCUUACCAAGGCAACGAUGCAUAGCCGACCUGAGAGCGUGCUCGGCCACCCUGGCACUGAGACACGCUCGAGACUCCUCCGGGAGGCACCAGUAGGGACUCUUCCGCAAUGGGCGAAAGCCUGACGGAGCAACGCCGCGUGCGUGCUGAAGGUCUUCGAAUCGUAAAACUCUGUUAUUAGGGAAGACCAUAUGUGUAAGUAACUGUGCACAUCUUGACGGUACCUAAUCAGAAGGCCAAGGCUAACUUAGUG
rnacentral:rRNA from 1 species